rnacentral:sRNA from 1 species
UGCUAACGCGAUGGAGGACCACCAUGGGAUUUACGCAAUCGCUCAAUGCCCUUGUGAUCUGUGCAGCGUUCAUAUUUGUGGGUGCAAUGCUUUUCAUUUAGUCAUGAGGGCAUCAACAAGAGCCAAAGUUUAAAGACGGGAGCGUUUCGGCGCUCCCGUUU